rnacentral:rRNA from 1 species
GACGGAGGAUGCAAGCGUUAUCCGGAAUUAUUGGGCGUAAAGCGUCCGCAGGUGGCUGUUCAAGUCUGCUGUCAAAGCGCAGAGCUUAACUCUGUACAGGCGGUGGAAACUGAAGAGCUAGAGUAUGGUAGGGGUAGAGGGAAUUCCCGGUGUAGCGGUGAAAUGCGUAGAUAUCGGGAAGAACACCAGUGGCGAAAGCGCUCUACUGGGCCAUAACUGACACUGAGGAGCGAAAGCGUGGGGAGCAAACAGG